GAUGAACGCUAGCGGCAGGCUUAACACAUGCAAGUCGAACGGUAACAUAGGUUGCUUGCAAUCUGAUGACGAGUGGCGCACGGGUGCGUAACGCGUAUACAAUCUACCUUUUACAGGGGAAUAGCCUUUAGAAAUGAAGAAUAAUACCCCAUAGUAUUAUAUAGUUGCAUAACAAUAUAAUUAAAGAUUUAUCGGUAAAAGAUGAGUAUGCGUUCUAUUAGCUAGUAAGUAAGGUAACGGCUUACUUAGGCGACGAUAGAUAGGGGCCCUGAGAGGGGGAUCCCCCACACUGGUACUGAGACACGGACCAGACUCCUACGGGAGGCAGCAGUGAGGAAUAUUGGACAAUGGGCGAGAGCCUGAUCCAGCCAUGCCGCGUGCAGGAAGACUGCCCUAUGGGUUGUAAACUGCUUUUAUAUAGGAAGAAACACUGGUAUGUAUACCAGCUUGACGGUACUAUAAGAAUAAGGAUCGGCUAACUCCG
rnacentral:rRNA from 1 species